rnacentral:tRNA from 1 species
UUAUAGAUAGUAUAAUGGUAGUACAAAAGCCUGCAAAGCUUGAAAUGACAGUUCAAGUCUGUCUCUAUGCU